rnacentral:rRNA from 1 species
CAAUAGCGUAUAUUAAAGUUGUUGCAGUUAAAAAGCUCGUAGUUGGAUUUCUGGUUGAAGCGACCGGUCGGGCGUUGAUUCGUCUGCACUGGAGUCGGUUUUGGCCAUCCUCUAGGAAAGUGAGUCUGGUAUUAAGUUAUCGGGCGUAUGAUCCUGGUCUUUUACUGUGAAAAAAUUAGAGUGUUUAAAGCAGGCCUUCGCCUUGAAUACAUUAGCAUGGAAUAAUAAGAUAGGACUUUGGUCUAUUUUGUUGGUUUGCAGACCGAAGUAAUGAUUAAUAGGGAUAGUUGGGGGUAUUUAUAUUCCGAUGUCAGAGGUGAAAUUCUUAGAUUUUCGGAAGAUAAACUUAUGCGAAAGCAUUUACCAAGGAUGUUUUCAUUAA